rnacentral:lncRNA from 1 species
GUUUGUUUGGCAUUGCCGACCCACACUAUCAGCAGGUGGGUAGGUAGGUAGGGAUUUUUUUUUUUUUUUACAUUUAAAAGCUUUAUACAUGUAAAUCAUGAAGUCUCUAGACCAAUGUUGUCUAAAGCAUUGCAGCAUUGUUGUGUGUACAUGCUGGUGGUUUCUUUGAACGGGGUCAACCGUCAAUGUCACAUUCUACAUCAUAUGGAUAAUUUCAUGUAAGACAGUCAGUUUUGUUGGCAGAGUUAACCAAAGGACCCAGAAAAAAACACAGAACUGAGGCAGGAAACUGACAAAUUAACCAUAUAAAAUGUACAAUGUAUGACGUGAAAAUUGAACUUUUAUUGUGGGACUGCCAAUUGAACAGAGGCCUGAUGUCACAUCUUGUGGUCACAGUUUGGUAAAAUUACCAUAAGUUAAAUGGCUCAACCACUACGGCUCCUUGUACAAAUGGACAAAGAUUUAAAACUUUUAUUGUUUGCUUUGGUUUUGUAAACAUCACUUUCUACACCGUAUGUAAUUUAAUGGCAGUCAGUUUUGUUGGCAUACUAUUAAACCGUAGUACUUGAAGGAAAACGGCGGCAACCUGCGGGAAGAAACUGACUAACCUUAUCACAUAUGACAUGAAAAUCAAACCUUAAUUUUGCAACUGCCCAACUAGGGCUCAAACCAAUACCUAGAGGCUAGUAAUCAUACAUGAAAGGUGUGACGAACUACCAUACAAACACGCCUACUGCCCCUGAUAAGUUUUGAGGAUAUAGGAUCUGUACCAAAUAAGGAUAGCAAAAAUAUUAAAAAUUUGGAAGGUUGGCACAAAUAGACAUGGUGUUUAUACUAAUAUUAUCCAUUAGUGCAAGGUUUUUCAGGGCUAUACAUGCUAUAGGUUUAAAACGUAUGAUAAAUUCAAAAUGGAAAUAUGCAGCAGGACAGACAAUUUUUGCAGAUAAAUAAAUUAUGGGUUGUAAUGCUUGUUUGAUUAACAGAAAUCUGGACAUGCAUUACAUGAAUACAGAUAAAUUAAUGAGCCCUUAGAAUUGUGGAAAAGGAAGGGAUUUUAU